GAUGAACGCUGGCGGCGUGCCUAAUACAUGCAAGUCGAGCGAACAGAUGAGGAGCUUGCUCCUCUGACGUUAGCGGCGGACGGGUGAGUAACACGUGGAUAACCUACCUAUAAGACUGGGAUAACUUCGGGAAACCGGAGCUAAUACCGGAUAAUAUAUUGAACCGCAUGGUUCAAUAGUGAAAGACGGUUUUGCUGUCACUUAUAGAUGGAUCCGCGCCGCAUUAGCUAGUUGGUAAGGUAACGGCUUACUAAGGCAACGAUGCGUAGCCGACCUGAGAGGGUGAGCUGCCACACGGGAACUGAGACACGUUCCAGACUCCUACUGGAGGCAGCAGUAGGGAAUCUUCCGCAAUGGGCGAAAGCCUGACGGAGCAACGCCGCGUGAAUGAUGAAGCUCUUCGGAUCGUAAAUCUCUGUUAUUAGGGAAGAACAAAUGUGUAAGUAACUGUGCACGUCUUGACGGUACCUAAUCAAAAAGCCGCGGCUAACUACGUG
rnacentral:rRNA from 1 species